AUGUCCAACUCCACCGUGCUGCUGAUCGGCGCCUCCGUGGCCGUGCUCGCCGUGCUCUCCGUCUUCACCUUCGUCUGCUCAAACCGGCGGCGGGUGAACCGUGCGUCGCGGUCGCCGUCGCUGCCGAGGGUCGACGUGGGCGUGGAGCAAGGUGGUGACCGGUCCGCUGCCACGGCAGGGAUCGACGAGGCCGCCCUGGCUGCGUUCCCGACCAUGGUGUAUUCCAGGGCCACAACAGGCGAGGAUGGCACGACGUGCGCGGUGUGCCUGGCGGACUACGCGGACGGCGACGAGCUCCGCCGGCUGCCGGGGUGCCGGCAUGUGUUCCACCAGCGGUGCGUCGACGACUGGCUGCGGCAGCGGACGAGCUGCCCGCUCUGCCGCGCGGCGCCGCCGACCACCGGCGCGGGCUAA
rnacentral:rRNA from 1 species